rnacentral:rRNA from 1 species
CCUGCUCAAUGAUAAAAUUCAAUAGCCGCAAACUUUUUAUGUGCUAAGGUAGCAUAAUCAUUUGUUUUUUAAUUAAAAACUAGAAUGAAAGGUUAUACAUUCAAAUUUCUUUAUUAAUUUUUUAUAAAUAAUUUAUAUUAAAUAUAAAAAUAUAUUUUUAAAUAAAAAAGACGACAAGACCCUAUUAAAUUUAACUUAUAGUUUAGCUGGGGAAGCUUUUUAAAUAAAAUUUUUAUAAAAUUUUUAAAAAUAUAUUUAAUAAAAUUAAAAUUAAAAUAAAUUACUAUAGGGAUAACAGCGUUAUAUUUUUUAAAAGUUCUUAUUUAAAAAAAUAAUUGCGACCUCGAUGUUGAAUUAUAUUUUCUAUAUUAAUGCAAUAAUUAUAAAAGUAGAUC